UUAAGCAUAUCAAUAAGCGGAGGAAAAGAAACCAACCGGGAUUGCCUCAGUAACGGCGAGUGAAGCGGCAAGAGCUCAAAUUUGAAAGCUGGCCCCUUCGGGGUCCGCAUUGUAAUUUGCAGAGGAUGCUUCGGGUGCGGCCCCUGUCUAAGUGCCCUGGAACGGGCCGUCAGAGAGGGUGAGAAUCCCGUCUGGGAUGGGGUGUCCGCGCCCGUGUGAAGCUCCUUCGACGAGUCGAGUUGUUUGGGAAUGCAGCUCUAAAUGGGUGGUAAAUUUCAUCUAAAGCUAAAUACUGGCCGGAGACCGAUAGCGCACAAGUAGAGUGAUCGAAAGAUGAAAAGCACUUUGAAAAGAGAGUUAAAAAGCACGUGAAAUUGUUGAAAGGGAAGCGCUUGCGACCAGACUCGCCCCCGGGGUUCAGCCGGCAUUCGUGCCGGUGUACUUCCCCGGGGGCGGGCCAGCGUCGGUUUGGGCGGCCGGUCAAAGGCCCCUGGAAUGUAGUACCCUCCGGGGUACCUUAUAGCCAGGGGUGCAAUGCGGCCAGCCUGGACCGAGGAACGCGCUUCGGCACGGACGCUGGCAUAAUGGUCGCAAACGACCCGUCUUGAAACACGGACCAAGGAGUCUAACAUCUACGCGAGUGUUCGGGUGUCAAACCCGUACGCGCAGUGAAAGCGAACGGAGGUGGGAGCCCCCCCGCGGGGCGCACCAUCGACCGAUCCUGAUGUCUUCGGAUGGAUUUGAGUACGAGCGUAAAUGUGGGGACCCGAAAGAUGGUGAACUAUGCCUGAAUAGGGCGAAGCCAGAGGAAACUCUGGUGGAGGCUCGCAGCGGUUCUGACGUGCAAAUCGAUCGUCAAAU
rnacentral:rRNA from 1 species